rnacentral:rRNA from 1 species
UGAAACAGCGCACUAAAGUAAAUAAAAGCAGAGACUAAGCCUCGUACCUUUUGCAUCAUGAUCUAGCCAGUAAUUUCAAGCGAAGAGACCUCUAGUUUGAACCCCCGAAACCGGACGAGCUACUUCGGGACAGCCUAUUGCAGGGCCAACCCGUCUCUGUGGCAAAAGAGUGGGAAGAUCCCCGAGUAGAGGUGAAAGAUCUACCGAGUCAGGUUAUAGCUGGUUACCCAGGAAAUGAAUAGAAGUUCAGCCCCGCCGAACCCUCGUACACAACAGUUUUACUUAAAUUAAGUUAUUAGGAUACCCGCGGGAGUUAGUCAAAGGAGGUACAGCUCCCUUAACAAAGGAUACAACCUUCACAGGAGGCUAAGGAAUUCAUCAAACCAAGGCCACAGGUUUUAGUGGGCCUAAAAGCAGCCAUCUGAAUAGAAAGCGUUAAAGCUCAAACCAAAAAAAGCCUAUUAUAUUAUCAUUUUAUCCUCAAUGCCCCUAAAAAUACUGGGCCUCCCUAUGCUCACAUAGGAAAGACCAUGCUAGAACGAGUAAUAAGAAGAACGAACUUCUCCCCGCACAUGUGUAAGUCGAAUCGGACCACCCAUCGACAAUUAACGAACCCAAUAAAAGAGGGCCAUGCAUAAUUGCUGUAUCAGGCCAAGAAAACCAUGCAAAACCUAAUCGUUACCCCCACACAGGAGUGCUAAAAACUAAGGGAAAGACUUAAAGAAGGAAAAGGAACUCGGCAAACCUAAACCUCGCCUGUUUACCAAAAACAUCGCCUCCUGCCCACUCAGCAUAGGAGGUCCCGCCUGCCCUGUGACCAAAAGUUUAACGGCCGCGGUAUUUUAACCGUGCAAAGGUAGCGCAAUCAAUUGUCUUUUAAAUGAAGACCUGUAUGAAUGGCAUAACGAGGGUUUAACUGUCUCUUUUUUCAGGUCAAUGAAACUGAUCUGUCCGUGCAGAAGCGGACAUAUUAACACAAGACGAGAAGACCCUAUGGAGCUUUAGACGCCCACCAACCGCGAAAAGCAGCCUACCUAAACAGAUGCUCUAAACAACGCGGUCCUGGUACAAACGUCUUCGGUUGGGGCGACCGCGGAGGAGAACAAAGCCUCCGAGAGGAAUGGGAACAAACCCUAAAACCAAGAGCCACAGCUCUAAGUCACAAAAAAUUUGACCGACAAUGAUCCGGCUUACUGCCGAUCAACGGACCAAGUUACCCUAGGGAUAACAGCGCAAUCCCCUCCCAGAGUCCAUAUCGACGAGGGGGUUUACGACCUCGAUGUUGGAUCAGGACAUCCUAAUGGUGCAGCCGCUAUUAA